UUUUAAGUUAAAAAAAGAUGUCAAUGAGACACAGAAAAAAGUGUCUGAAAUGGAGCAACUAAAGAAACAAAUAAAAGACCAAAGCUUAACUCUGAGUAAAUUAGAAAUGGAGAAUUUAAAUUUGGCUCAGAAACUUCAUGAAAACCUUGAAGAAAUGAAAUCUGUAAUGAAAGAAAGAGAUAAUCUAAGAAGAGUAGAGGAGACACUCAAACUGGAGAGAGACCAACUCAAGGAAAGCCUGCAAGAAACCAAAGCUAGAGAUCUGGAAAUACAACAGGAACUAAAAACUGCUCGUAUGCUAUCAAAAGAACACAAAGAAACUGCUGAUAAACUUCGAGAAAAAAUUUCAGAAAAG
rnacentral:lncRNA from 1 species